GUCGUCCGUUUUCUUGAUCGAACUCGAGCUUCGAACUCGCGAACGAAAUCAGAAGUGAAACAGCCAGAGUUCACGUCGGGUUGAUUCGCGGAUUGUUUGUCGGUGCGUGCGUCGUGGUCCGCGUCAUUCGCAGACAAAAAAUCUUCCAUCCGCUUCUUUGGAGAGUAGUGCGAGUGGUCCGGAAGUUACGAAAAGAUCAAACUCAAAGUCCCCCCCGUGGAAUCCGGGGACAAAUUUUAAGGUGAAAAAUUUUACUUUGGGAGUGUCGGUCGGAAGGAAGGAAAAAAAAUUGGAACACUGGUGAAGGUUUUCCUUCUUUCUCUUUCGCGGACGGGGCACAGUGAACAGUGAGCGAGUGAGAGCAGGAAGAAACAUAACGGGAUCGGACCAGCAGUAGCAGCAGCCAGAGCUGAACGCAGUGUCAGUGGUGGUCCAUUUUUUUUUUUUCGGUGAGUGAAUGAACGACGGAAGAAGAUAAAAAACAGUGACUGUUCGCUUGGUUUCUGCGGAUGCCGGACAGGAGCAGAUGUGACUCAUCCAAGAUUUUGGGGUGAGUUCGAGCGAGAGUCGCGAAGUGAAAAGUGUGCUGCUGCAGUCCGGCCAUCAUAUCGUAUCGUUCGGUCUUCGUCGGACUUUGCGAGCGGAGCGCAAGAAGGCGCAUCACUAGCGCCACCACCUUGAACGACGGCAAAACCAGCAGCGCGUUCACUCACAUUGGUGCACCAACAGCGCGAGAAAAGUAGGCGAGGAGAAUAGUGUUUUCACACAGCCCCAGUGUUGGCCAGUGUUUGUGUCGCUUGGUUUUCGUGUGUGUGGGACAGCCGCGAGCUACACGGGAGACGGGAUUGUGUGUGGAUUAACGGGGGGCCCCGAAGAAGAAAAGUGGAAUAUAUCUAGUCCGGAAAACAAACCGUGACAGCGCCGUGGAAAGGAGGAAAAUCGAUUUUAGCGGUUUUUUCCGCGUGUUUUUGGCGUGUGUGAAAAAUUUUAAUUUUAGAUCAAGGGUAGGACGGCCCUCCCCAUCGGUGGUACUAGUGCGCGAUUCAAUCGGAAGACUGGGAGGGAGGUCCGCGCGAUGGGUAAUUUUCUAAACUUUUGACAGCAACAGCAGCAGCAGUACGCAUAUUUGCGGACAAAACUCACACACAGUUGAGCGGAGCCCAGUUGUGAAGUCCGAGUCGAGGAAGGUGUCGUCUGCGCAAAGUGUUAUGGAAGAAGUGAAAAUCGCCUCCGUCGUUGGAAGAUGAUAAGGACCUCUGGGGAACAAUGGUGUGAAGUGAUAAGGACCUCAGUGUAGUUUUAGCGCAGUAGACUAUUUUGGCACAUCUGCUGCACUCGUCGGGGGUUCAGCUCAGACGUGUAAGUGGCACUUAUACAGACGGGGGCCCAAUCACCACCACCACCAACCAACCAAACCAAUCAAACCAACAGGCAGCAGAGUCCGUCUCCGUCAUCAUCGCCUCGAAUCGAGCGAAAUCUACGACCACGGCAGACUGCUGGCGACGAAGAUGCCGAGGAGUGUGUGAUUUUAUCUUGAUCCAAAAGAAGAAAUAACGAAAAAAAAGGGAUCAACCCCCUGCCUGCCUACCCGCGCGUGAAGAAACUGUGGUCGUCCUGAUUGUGCGAUUGAGUGACGUCUAUGUAAUCACAGUCCUACUAGAGAUUUCUGCGUGGUAUUAGUGUGUGCAAGUGUCAAUCAGCAGCUAGCAGUGCUUUUCUCCAGAAUCACGCAAAUUUUAUCUCUUCAACAGCAGCAGCAGCAGCAGUGAGGAAAGAAAACGGUGAAUGAAAAGAAGUGAAGUAGAUGAAAUCACCCCAAAAAGCAGAAGAAAAUUGGGAAAGUCCUUGAGUCUACUACAGUCGAGAUCCGUCGCGAAGAAAGAAAAAAAAAGAACGAACUAGACGAAUCAGAAGAGAUCGUGACGUGCAAAACCAUUGACCAGCAACACCGCGGAUCAAUUUCUUAUCAAUUACGUCAACGUUUCGUGUUCCUACUGUACAGUUUAUGUUUGUGAAGUGUAAGUGUGAACCUCUAAACCAACAACUCUCGAAAAACAGAACCAUCCGGAUGGGAUUCGGCGGAAUCGGUGGUAAUUCGUCGCCGCUUCCGGAAAAUGCAGCAGCAUAACAGCACUAGCGGGGAACGUCAGCAGCAGCAGCAACAGCAACGUGAAGGUCGCGAACGUCGUGACGUUGCACGACAGACAAGGUGAGCUUGUCGCCUGUCCAAGCCCAGCAACUGUGUCCCAACUCGGCGACGACGGCGGUGUCCGUUCAUCAGUAGGUACGCACACCAUCCCGUACCGUCUGCUGUGUCUGCCAGUCCGUUGUUGUUGUCGUCGUCGUUGUUGUUGCUGUAGCGGUGGACACCUUGCCCUAGCUCAAACACUGUCAGAGUCAUCGCAUCGCGUCAGUAAUUGCAACGUAUCUUGGGUUCUCGAAUGCCCAACAGUUCAAAAUUCGUUCACACGACGAUAGCAAGUGUACCUAGAGAGAGAGAGGGUGGGUGUGUGUGUGUAACUAGUGUGUGAAACCUAUCUCUAUUGUUCUCUACAAAUAGUGCUUGUGGUGGUGCAAACGUGUAAAAAUAAGAUCGAGAAGAACGCCACAUCGGUGAGCGAGUGAGUAAGAGUUACGAAGAAGAUUGUUGUCGUGGUUCACGAAUUACGAAGGAAGAAGAUUCAAGAAGUGUGUUACCCAGUAUCAACAAGCGGCUUAGGAACGGCAGUUAAUCGGAAACGAUCGUCACAACCACCAUCGACAUGAAUGCUGAUCGGUAAGUUUCCAGUUUAUUGGAUUUUUUGAAAUUUGUGCUGAAUCAUUUCACGUCGUAUGACAAACUUAUCGGAACUUAACUUAUUUUAACUUCAACAUAAUAUUUAGAGACCAACAUUUAAAAAGCACAGAAAAAUUCCGUUAAAGCAUUGAGUUUUACAAGUAGCAUCUGAUAUUUUAUCAUUUCGGGCAAAGUCUCUGAAUGUCCUCGAAGUUUCAUGAAAAAAAUACAGUAUUUUCUAAAUAUUUGUGAUAAAAUUACACAAAAAUGCCAGGUUGCGCUAAUGAGAAAGGGCUUCUGACGGUAAACUUUUCAGGAAAACCCCUGGUAGUUCUUAAGAUUUAUAUGAUGGAAUUUUUGGUUAUAAUAUAUGAUCGACCAACUGAAUGAAUUUCUAGUUGAAUUUUUGGAGAAGCUGCUAUUGAAACUACUAAAGAAAUUUCAAGUAGAACUUUUUGGCGUAGAACUUUGUGAAAUCUAUAACAAAAUUCUUAGAAUUAGUAUUAUGAAAACUGUUGAAAUUCUUACCAAGGGCUCCUUGAACUUCCUGGAAAGCUUAACCAAUAACACACGGAAAAAAUCCAUUCCCAAGAUCAUGAAUUU